rnacentral:rRNA from 1 species
AGUGAACGCUGGCGGUAUGCCUAACACAUGCAAGUCGAACGGCAGCACAGUAAGAUCUUGCUCUUGCGGGUGGCGAGUGGCGGACGGGUGAGGAAUACAUCGGAAUCUACUUUUUCGUGGGGGAUAACGUAGGGAAACUUACGCUAAUACCGCAUACUACCUACGGGUGAAAGCAGGGGAUCUUCGGACCUUGCGCGUUUGAAUGAGCCGAUGUCGGAUUAGCUAGUUGGCGGGGUAAAGGCCCACCAAGGCGACGAUCCGUAGCUGGUCUGAGAGGAUGAUCAGCCACACUGGAACUGAGACACGGUCCAGACUCCUACGGGAGGCAGCAGUGGGGAAUAUUGGACAAUGGGCGCAAGCCUGAUCCAGCAAUACCGCGUGAGUGAAGAAGGCCUUCGGGUUGUAAAGCCCUUUUGUUGGGAAAGAAAAGCAGCAGGUUAAUACCCCGCUGUUCUGACGGUACCCAAAGAAUAAGCACCGGCUAACUUCGUG